GAAGGAAGGAAGGAAGGAAGGAAGGAAGGAAGGAAGGAAGGAAGGAAGGAAGGAAGGAAGGAAGGAAAGAAAGUGGCUUUCUCUUUUCCUUCCUUCCUUCCUUCCUUCCUUCCUUCCUUCCUUCCUUCCUGUCAUGCUGAGACAUGUAUUUCU